UAGGGAAUCUUCGGCAAUGGGGGGAACCCUGACCGAGCAACGCCGCGUGAGUGAAGAAGGUUUUCGGAUCGUAAAGCUCUGUUGUUAAGGAAGAACAAAUGUGUAAGUAACUAUGCACGUCUUGACGGUACCUAAUCAGAAAGCCACGGCUAACUACGUGCCAGCAGCCGCGGUAAUACGUAGGUGGCAAGCGUUAUCCGGAAUUAUUGGGCGUAAAGCGCGCGUAGGCGGUUUUUUAAGUCUGAUGUGAAAGCCCACGGCUCAACCGUGGAGGGUCAUUGGCAACUGGAAAACUUGAGUGCAGAAGAGGAAAGUGGAAUUCCAUGUGUAGCGGUGAAAUGCGCAGAGAUAUGGAGGAACACCAGUGGCGAAGGCGACUUUCUGGUCUGUAACUGACGCUGAUGUGCGAAAGCGUGGGAAUCAAACAGG
rnacentral:rRNA from 1 species